rnacentral:rRNA from 1 species
UGGGGAAUCUUGGACAAUGGGCGCAAGCCUGAUCCAGCCAUGCCGCGUGAGUGACGAAGGCCUUAGGGUUGUAAAGCUCUUUUGGCGGGGACGAUAAUGACGGUACCCGCAGAAUAAGCCCCGGCUAACUUCGUGCCAGCAGCCGCGGUAAUACGAAGGGGGCUAGCGUUGUUCGGAAUUACUGGGCGUAAAGCGCACGUAGGCGGAUUUGUCAGUCAGGGGUGAAAUCCCGAGGCUCAACCUCGGAACUGCCUCCGAUACAGCAAGUCUCGAGUCCGGAAGAGGUGAGUGGAAUUCCUAGUGUAGAGGUGAAAUUCGUAGAUAUUAGGAAGAACACCAGUGGCGAAGGCGGCUCACUGGUCCGGUACUGACGCUGAGGUGCGAAAGCGUGGGGAGCAAACAGGAUUAGAUACCCUCGUAGUCCCUGAGCGGGCUGGCAAGGCGCAU